UGCUCCCCUACUGUUCCUUCAACACCUACGCUGCCUCUUCAAAACAAAACGUGUUUUUUGCAGUACUGAGAAUUGAUUUUCGGGCCUCAGACACAGUUUUCCACAAAUUAUCACUGGAGUCUUGGGGACAAAUCUGCAGCGAACGGUGGCCCUCCAACCCUCAUACCUGACUGGCUUCCCAGAGUGAGAGGUGGAUCCAGGCUCGCUGUGGAGCCAAGAUGCAGAGGUUGAUGAAGGCACAGCCCAAGGAGAUGUGAAAGUAGACCGGGAAGAGCUUACUCUGCACUAACCCGAAGGUAUGCCGAGGAAGA